AUGAAAUCUACUAUUUGUUGUUCUAUGGUUGACUGUCAAAAGCGUCAAAUUUGGGUUAUGAUAUAUUGCAUAACGCAAAAUACCCAACAAAACUAGAUAAAAGUAUUAUAGAGUAUACAAUGAAAUAUCGGGUAAAUAACCAACCGAAUGGUACCUUUACUACAGCGCUGUAUUACAGGCUUACACAGGAAUGCCUUGUUGGGUUGUACAUAACUCGAAAGAAGUGUGGCACCCUAAGCCAAUUUAUACUACAAGAGUGAGGCUCUUGACGAAAGUAUACAAACAAAGCAAACAUAAGCAGAUCUUAAAACUACAUUCUAACAUGCUAAAUCUUAUAGCUAGUCUUAUCUGUGAGAGUGGUGUGUAGCACAGUUGCCCAGGUCGAAUUCCUCUGGAGCGAUAAAGUUCUAUCUGGGUGAAACGGAGAGUCAAGCGGUACAUGCACCAAUCACUAGGCCUGGGAGGGUGCAGGGUGCAAAGCGGCGUGCAGCAAAGUGUAUGGCCAGCACAAAAUACUCGCACUUUUGUCAUGCAUACCAUGCAGCAAGCAGUAGUGAAGCGGGUUGGUAGUGUGGCAAGAAGGUUGCGAUAGUUUUUAAGUCGGUGUAUGAAGGAGGAGAAUAAGCAGGAUAGAGAAGACACAAAAAAAAGGCCUAAAAGGAAAAGUAAAUGCUACAAAUGUCUACUAGUGUGUACUAAAUUAAUAAAGCGAGUGGUAAAGCUCAA